UGGAGCCAGGACUAUAAUAAAUGCUUGACUUAAUUUCAGAUAAACAUGAGUGAUAGAAAAUAAAACAGCCUAAGAAAUCCGGUGGAAGUACCUUUAUUUGAACUAAGUGGUCAGAUCCUACUUCCUCUAGAAAUGAUGAUUGAGGACAUUAGGAAUGUUGUGAUGUGACAUUACUGACUUUGAAUAGACUUCAAGUAUAGAUGCUUACAGCAUCAUUCCUGGUAGUUACUUCUAGACUUUGAAAACUAGCAUUAGAAUAGAAAGUUGUACUAGUGAGGUUCAAGGGAUGCAGAAGUGCCAGCCCUAGAGCUUGGAUCACAAUGCAUGAGUGUUAGGGCUUUAAGAGUCCUGAGGGUGGGGGAGCCUGAUUCCCUUCCUUUUCCUGUUCUGCUUUCCCAUCUUGUCUUCGUCCUCUAUGGGUCCUGGGAUCUUGUCCUUUCAGAUUGGACAUCUGUGGACUUCACUUUGAUGUGAGGAGAGAGUGUGGUGCCGACAGACCUCCAGUGCUAUCAGUGGAAUACUAGUGGAGUUUUAAUUCUGGUUAAGAGUUUGCAAUGGGGCCUUGCUGCAGUGUAACUGUGAAGGUGUUUUAAAGAAUCUUAAGAUUCAGCAUAGUGAAAUUGUGAAAACAGCAUGAUAAAUUGAGUAAAAUAAACUCAGGCAUAUUGUUGGUGGGCAAAAUUAGAAUCCUUCCCAAGUAUGAUUCAUGCUUCUUGGUUCCUUCCUGUUCUGUGUCCCCCUUCCUUUUUCUCCUCUCUACCUCUCUCCUCCCAGUCUCAGUUCCCCCUCCCUCUGCCCCCUCUCUCCUUCCCUUUUAAAGUGUUUCCUGUAGUUUAGGCUGACUUCAACCUUGAAUUUUCCAUCCUUCUCCUGUUUGCUGAGAUUAUAGGUAUAUGCUAGCAUCACCUUUGGCUCGUUUCCCUCUCUAGGUUUGGAAUGCACAAUGAUGAGACACAAAAACAUAAACAUCUCCAGAAAGAAGCUAUGGUAAGCUUCAAGGUUUCACAGUCCAAGUUAAUAUCUAUGGACAUUUGACCAAAUGAUCUGAGAAAAUUCGAUUCCUGGCAAAAGAAGUGUAACUAGAGUCAGGCAGGACUGGAACACAGAGGACUACUAGAUUAAGUGGAAACAAUGCCCAGGCAUCCCAGUGCCCCCACUGAUGGUCCAGCUAUCAUCAAGAUGGUGACGAGUUACAUAUGACCUGGAGGAGGACUGUGCAGAGUACCUUCUAGCACCAUAAACACUAAUCAGUGAGCAAUGCUGAACUUCUAAUUAGGCAAGAGCUCAACCUCUUCAUGCUUGAGGACAUAAAGUUCAGGAUCAAGCUCAGAAGCUCACAGCUGCCAGCAGCACACUACUACUGCACUGUCUCCUUAGUCCAUGCUCACUCUUAAAUAGCCACAAAACACUCAGUGGUAUGGCAAAGGAAACCUCCAUUUCAUUUAGAUGUUUAUGAUAAUUUUUCCCACUUUAAUUAUUUUAUGUAGUUGAAUAUGAUUUUUUUUCCUAAGGAAUUUUUUUAUCUCAAUGUAAGACUCUUGAACCUUUAUGUUAUAUAUAAUUUCCUGUAGUUUUCAAAAUUGCUUUAAUAAAAAAGUUUAACUUUAAAA
rnacentral:sRNA from 1 species